rnacentral:lncRNA from 1 species
GACGAGAGUCACCGCACAAACUGUCACAAAACCCCAGAGUCACUGUAGGGACCAGACACUGUCACCAGGAUACUCCGGAACCUACUCACAAAGGAGCAGCAGGCAAACAAUGGUUGCCAUGACAAUCCAAGCCCGAUUUGGCCAUUACCGCCUCCUCUCCACUGUGUGGAAUUUAUAUUAAAACUGACUGUAGUCCAGUCUAUCCAUCCAUUACCGCCUCCUCUCCACUGUGUGGAAUCCAUAUUAAAACUGACCGUAGUCCAGUCUAUCCAUCCAUUACUGCCUCCUCUCCACUGCGUGGAAUCCAUAUUAAAACUGACCGUAGUCCAGUCUAUCCAUCCAUUACUGCCUCCUCUCCACUGUGUGGAAUCCUUAUUAAAACUGACGGUAGUCCAGUCUAUCCAUCCAUUACCGCCUCUGCUCCACUGCGUGGAAUCCAUAUUAAAACUGACCGUAGUCCAGUCUAUCCAUCCAUUACCGCCUCCGCUCCACUGCGUGGAAUCCAUAUUAAAACUGACCGUAGUCCAGUAUAUCCAUCCAUUACCGCCUCCUCUCCACUGCGUGGAAUCCAUAUUAAAACUGACCGUAGUCCAGUCUAUCCAUCCAUUACCGCCUCCGCUCCACUGCGUGGAAUCCAUAUUAAAACUGACCGUAGUCCAGUCUAUCCAUCCAUUACCGCCUCCGCUCCACUGCGUGGAAUCCAUAUUAAAACUGACCGUAGUCCAGUCUAUCUAUUCAGUGGAUGUAGAAAUACAGCUAGUGUUCCUCAACAAUCAACAAGACAUCUGUUACGCAAAUCAUUUUCUGGAAAAUAUUUAUUUUGAGUAUACCAAAAACAUUUCAGACAAUCAAUUCAUACAGUAGAAUACUGUUGUUCCAACUAGCCUUUGGACACAGUCAAGCUGUAGGGCACAGUUUAUUGCAAAGGGGAGGAUGUAUGUUGUGCAAAUGCAUUCAUUUUGAAUUGAUAACUAUCGUUGGUAGCUACAUGACAUAAUGCAAAACAGUGUCGAUUUUAGCCACGCUGCA